rnacentral:rRNA from 1 species
AGCGAACGCUGGCGGCAGGCCUAACACAUGCAAGUCGAACGAACUCUUCGGAGUUAGUGGCGGACGGGUGAGUAACACGUGGGAACGUGCCUUUAGGUUCGGAAUAACUCAGGGAAACUUGUGCUAAUACCGAAUGUGCCCCUCGGGGGAAAGAUUUAUCGCCUUUAGAGCGGCCCGCGUCUGAUUAGCUAGUUGGUGAGGUAAAGGCUCACCAAGGCGACGAUCAGUAGCUGGUCUGAGAGGAUGAUCAGCCACAUUGGGACUGAGACACGGCCCAAACUCCUACGGGAGGCAGCAGUGGGGAAUCUUGCGCAAUGGGCGAAAGCCUGACGCAGCCAUGCCGCGUGAAUGAUGAAGGUCUUAGGAUUGUAAAAUUCUUUCACCGGGGACGAUAAUGACGGUACCCGGAGAAGAAGCCCCGGCUAACUUCGUG